AUUGAACGCUGGCGGCAGGCCUAACACAUGCAAGUCGAACGGUAACAGGAAACAGCUUGCUGUUUCGCUGACGAGUGGCGGACGGGUGAGUAAUGUCUGGGAAACUGCCUGAUGGAGGGGGAUAACUACUGGAAACGGUAGCUAAUACCGCAUAACGUCGCAAGACCAAAGAGGGGGACCUUCGGGCCUCUGGCCAUCGGAGGUGCCCAGAUGGGAUUAGCUAGUAGGUGGGGUAACGGCUCACCUAGGCGACGAUCCCUAGCUGGUCUGAGAGGAUGACCAGCCACCCUGGAACUGAGACACGGUCCAGACUCCUACGGGAGGCAGCAGUGGGGAAUAUUGCACAAUGGGCGCAAGCCUGAUGCAGCCAUGCCGCGUGUAUGAAGAAGGCCUUCGGGUUGUAAAGUACUUUCAGCGGGGAGGAAGGGAGUAAAGUUAAUACCUUUGCUCAUUGACGUUACCCGCAGAAGAAGCACCGGCUAACUCCGUGCCAGCCGCCGCCGUAA
rnacentral:rRNA from 1 species